GGAUGCAGCAGUGGGGAAUAUUGCACAAUGGGCGAAAGCCUGAUGCAGCGACGCCGCGUGAGGGAUGGAGGCCUUCGGGUUGUAAACCUCUUUCGCUCAUGGUCAAGCCGCAACAAUGGUUGUGGUGAGGGUAGUGGGUAAAGAAGCGCCGGCUAACUACGUGCCAGCAGCCGCGGUAAUACGUAGGGCGCGAGCGUUGUCCGGAAUUAUUGGGCGUAAAGGGCUUGUAGGCGGUUGGUCGCGUCUGCCGUGAAAUCCUCUGGCUUAACUGGGGGCGUGCGGUGGGUACGGGCUGACUUGAGUGCGGUAGGGGAGACUGGAACUCCUGGUGUAGCGGUGGAAUGCGCAGAUAUCAGGAAGAACACCGGUGGCGAAGGCGGGUCUCUGGGCCGUUUCUGACGCUGAGGAGCGAAAGCGUGGGGAGCGAACAGGAUUAGAUACCCUGGUAGUCCACGCUGUAAACGUUGGGCACUAGGUGUGGGGGCCACCUGUGGUUUCUGCGCCGUAGCUAACGCUUUAAGUGCCCCGCCUGGGGAGUACGGCCGCAAGGCUAAAACUCAAAGGAAUUGACGGGGGCCCGCACAAGCGGCGGAGCAUGCGGAUUAAUUCGAUGCAACGCGAAGAACCUUACCAAGGCUUGACAUGCACGGCGGCACUGCAGAGAUGUGGUGGCAUUUAGUUGGUCGUGUGCAGGUGGUGCAUGGUUGUCGUCAGCUCGUGUCGUGAGAUGUUGGGUUAAGCCCCGCAACGAGCGCAACCCUUGCCCUAUGUUGCCAGCACGUGAUGGUGGGGACUCGUGGGGGACUGCCGGGGUUAACUCGGGGGAAGGUGGGGAUGACGUCAAAUCAUCAUGCCCCUUAUGUCUUGGGCUUCACGCAUGCUACAAUGGUUGGUACAGAGGGUUGCGAUACUGUGAGGUGGAGCGAAUCCCUUAAAGCCAGUCUCAGUUCGGAUUGGGGUCUGCGACUCGACCCCAUGAAGGUGGAGUCGCUAGUAAUCGCAGAUCAGCAACGCUGC
rnacentral:rRNA from 1 species